GCGCUCUUAGCUCAACUGGAUAGAGCAUUUGGCUUCGGACCAAAAGGUUGUAAGUUCGACUCUUAUAGAGCGCGCCA
rnacentral:tRNA from 1 species